GGUCAAGUUAUCAAGGGCUCACGGUGGAUACU
rnacentral:rRNA from 1 species